CCUACGGGAGGCAGCAGUGGGGAAUAUUGCGCAAUGGGCGAAAGCCUGACGCAGCGACGCCGCGUGAGGGAUGAAGGUCUUCGGAUUGUAAACCUCUUUCAGCAGGGACGAAGCGAAAGUGACGGUACCUGAAGAAGAAGCACCGGCUAACUACGUGCCAGCAGCCGCGGUAAUACGUAGGGUGCAAGCGUUGUCCGGAUUUAUUGGGCGUAAAGAGCUCGUAGGCGGUUAGACACGUCGGAUGUGAAAACUGGGGGCUCAACCCCCAGCCUGCAUUCGAUACGGUCUGACUAGAGUGUGGUAGGGGUAACUGGAAUUCCUGGUGUAGCGGUGAAAUGCGCAGAUAUCAGGAGGAACACCGAUGGCGAAGGCAGGUUACUGGGCCACCACUGACGCUGAGGAGCGAAAGCGUGGGGAGCAAACAGGAUUAGAUACCCUGGUAGUCCACGCCGUAAACGGUGGGCGCUAGAUGUGGGGACCAUUCCAUGGUUUCUGCGUCGCNGCUACGCAUAGCGCCCGCCGUGGGAGGUACGGUCGCGAGACGAAACGUAACGAAAGAAGUUAGACGGUCGUUGAGACGNGCCGACGGACGACGACGAGGGAGGAGG
rnacentral:rRNA from 1 species